rnacentral:lncRNA from 1 species
CAAGCUUGGGAAAGUGAGAAAAAAGGAAAAAGAGUAAGCAAAAUUUCCAAAUUCUCAAUAGUCAUAACUCAUUAACUUUCAAAAAGGAUUUUCUUUUUUUUUUUUUUUAAGAAAAAAGAAGAAGAAGAAAAAAAAAACAAUAUUAUAAAGUCAUUUUCAACCAUGGUUAUAUAACAAUGACUUCAUCUUUAGUUAAAUUAAAACCUUUCUCUUUCUCUCUCUAUAUGCAUGGUUGUAUAUUAGCUGUCACUUAUGAUCAAAAUAAAAAAUUUAAGAGUUUUGGGAUUUAGGAAUGUGUUGUUUUCUUAAAAAUAUUAAUUUAUUUUAUCAAAAUCAAAGCCCUUUAUAAAAACUCCUUUCAAUUGCCUUCUCAGCUCCUCUCUCUCUCUCUCUCUCUCUCUCUCUCCCUCCUACUCUUUCACACUCUCUUUUUCUUUCUUUCCUUCUUGCUUCAGUUUAGGACACCCAUCCCCGCCUCCUUACACGGCGGCGUCUCUGUACCCUUUUGAGAGAUUAAAGGCUUCAACUUUAUCAAAGUCUUAUAUUUGAAGUGAUUCUCUGUUUAACAUAAUAAGAGUUCAUUUAUUCAACGUAAAAAGCUUUCAACUUUGAAGACGCAACAACUGACAAAUUUUAGCAUAAAAGUUUCAGCUUUUUUCUAUACACAGGACAAAAAUAAAGAGAGAGGCUUUUGGGUUUUUCUCUGCUGACAAAAACUUCAAUUAAAGUCGUCUUGU